rnacentral:rRNA from 1 species
UACGUAGGGUGCGAGCGUUGUCCGGAAUUACUGGGCGUAAAGAGCUCGUAGGUGGUUUGUCGCGUUGUUCGUGAAAACUCACAACUCAAUUGUGGGCGUGCGGGCGAUACGGGCAGACUGGAGUACUGCAGGGGAGACUGGAAUUCCUGGUGUAGCGGUGGAAUGCGCAGAUAUCAGGAAGAACACCACUGGCGAAGGCAGCUCUCUGGGACGGUACUGACGCUGAGACGCGAAAGCGUGGGGAGCGAACAGG